rnacentral:rRNA from 1 species
UACGUAGGGUGCGAGCGUUAAUCGGAAUUACUGGGCGUAAAGCGUGCGCAGGCGGUUUUGUAAGCCAGAUGUGAAAGCCCCGGGCUCAACCUGGGAAUGGCAUUUGGGACUGCAAGGCUUGAGUGCGGCAGAGGAGACUGGAAUUCCUGGUGUAGCAGUGAAAUGCGUAGGUAUCAGGAGGAAUACCGAUGGCGAAGACAGGUCUCUGGGCUGACACUGACGCUCAUGCACGAAAGCGUGGGGAGCAAACAGG